UAGGGAAUCUUCGGCAAUGGACGGAAGUCUGACCGAGCAACGCCGCGUGAGUGAAGAAGGUUUUCGGAUCGUAAAGCUCUGUUGUAAGAGAAGAACGAGUGUGAGAGUGGAAAGUUCAUACUGUGACGGUAUCUUACCAGAAAGGGACGGCUAACUACGUGCCAGCAGCCGCGGUAAU
rnacentral:rRNA from 1 species